CGGCGGACGGGUGAGUAACACGUGGAUAACCUACCUAUAAGACUGGGAUAACUUCGGGAAACCGGAGUUAAUACCGGAUAAUAUAUUGAACCGCAUGGUUCAAUAGUGAAAGACGGUUUUGCUGUCACUUAUAGAUGGAUCCGCGCCGCAUUAGCUAGUUGGUAAGGUAACGGCUUACCAAGGCAACGAUGCGUAGCCGACCUGAGAGGGUGAUCGGCCACACUGGAACUGAGACACGGUCCAG
rnacentral:rRNA from 1 species